rnacentral:misc_RNA from 1 species
GAAAUGCGAUAAGUAAUGUGAAUUGCAGAAUUCCGUGAAUCAUCGAAUCUUUGAACGCACAUUGCGCCCUCUGGCAUUCCGGGGGGCAUGCCUGUCCGAGCGUCAUUACGCACCCUCAAGCCCGGCUUGUGGGAUGGGCCCUGGCGUCUCGUUCGCGAGACGGGCCCGAAAGGCAGCGGCGGCGUCGACCCGAAGAGCCCGAGCGUAUGGGGACUUUUGUCACACGUUUGCGGUGCGGACCGGCGCCUGCUUGACUUUUCUGAUUAUCCAGGUUGACCUCGGAUCAGGUAGGGAUACCCGCUGAACUUAAGC